rnacentral:lncRNA from 1 species
CAGCAGUUAUCAUCAAACUAAAUAAAACAGUACUGAACUACAAAUACAAGUCUUGUUUACAAUUACAACACCACAACCGAGUUCUCUGAUUCCGUUCAUUCACUGUUCAACCAUCAUGCGCCUCAAGUCGAUCACUGAAGAUCGAACAUGAGAUAAUCCUAACUGGGAGAAGGUUAGGAUUAGGAUCCACCAAAUGUUAGGACAAUAGCUAGUUGAGUCCAUAAACAAAAACGACCAGCUCGCCAACUCAAAAGUCUAAUGGGUAAGCAGCACAAAUGGUGAAGCUGUGGUCAGAACACCCGAGGUUGCAAGUAUAUUACCUCAAAAUGCAGAAGGCCUCCAAGUCUAUUGAUUUCAAUGGCCAGUUGUUAAAAGGUGGACUUCCUUUAAAAGUUCUUGAAUUUAAACUGUAUGCCUCAGCAUUAUUCUGCAAAGAAAUUAAGCUAAUAAUAUUAGUGAGACAACAAUUUUAUAUUCAUUCACAGUUAGCAUCAACACAUUGUCCAUGGUUAAUCUAGAAGAUUUUUAAAUUACAAUUCCUCAUUCACUCAAAUAUUCCCAAAAAGAUAUUAGAGCUUGUCCAUAACUGACUCAGGUGAAAUGAUAAACUGGUAUGUGUGCAACAACUCCAACGUGGAACUACAUUUGUACCACAUUGCAAAAAGAAACCAUCAAAAUGGGGAGGAAAAUAUGAGCAAAUAAAAAUUUUCAACUCCUUAAUUUAUCUUCUUAUUUGAAACUCAGUAUUCAUCAACUUACAACCUUGACAUAAUUAUUAAUUUAACCCUAUCAUUUAUGCAUAUACAGUAGAAUAAUUGGAUUUGUUUCAUUUCUUCUUUUUUAAUGCUUCUAAAUAUUAUUUAAAUUUAUGAAAAUAUUCAUCUUCCCACGUCUCCACUUGCCUAAUUGCUUUAGCUUUUCUAUCCAGAAAUUCCGUAAGAGCCUUAGGAUCAUAAGGAGGAGGCAUUUUGCAUGGAUUUUUAUGACUGGGACACGCCACUGUAGACUCAACCAUAAACUUCUUAUGCGUACCAUUUGCUAGACAUUCCAUUUUCUCCGGACGUAGUUCCGUUGCUCCUUUUGGUAUCCUAGCUUUAAAUUUCAAGAGCUUUGCAUAUUCAUUUAGCAGAUGAAACAUAUAAUCAUACACAUAAUCCAUCUUUAAUUCCUCGUGUAUGAAGCUACUUCCAGCUUUUCCUAUUGCCUCAGCCUGCAAAAUCGUUUAAUGCUUAAAUAAGAGAAUAAUCCCUUUCGGCUGGAGGCGAUUAUGUUUAAAAAUCCCUCCAAAAUGCUGACUCCAGGAUUCUAAUCUUGCGCUUAACCAUUAAACCGAGCUAUUUCGGAGAAGGAUUAUAAGGCGAAAAAAAUGUACCUGUUGAGUGUGAUUGUUGCCCCAAUCCACUGCAAACUUCAGAGAAUUGCAUUUGGCAUCAUCCCUGAUAGGCCAGUAAUGCUUUAAUGGGACCAUUUCUCUUAUGUAGAAAUCAUAAUAACGAGGCUUCACGUACAAAUUCAUGGAAUCGCAUGCUAUUAUGUAUUUCUCGCUCACAGACCAAGCCCAUCCUUCUAUAUAGAUCUUGUAUCUGUUUUAGAAUAAUUUUUUUUUUAAAAAAAAAAAAAAUUAAUUAUCAAAUUAUAUUUAAUUUAUCCUUACCUAUGGGUGCAUUGAUCUUGAAGAUUUGAUUCGUUAUAGCCCUGUUUAGAUUGUUGCACCCAGUCCUGAAAUAUAAUAAUCAUACAAUUAAAAUUCAAAGAUCAGGAGAAUGUUGAGUUAAUUGAAAAAUGUUUUUUCUUAAAAGAAAAAAUAAUAACCUGAAUAUAUAAGCGAGUGUUCCAAUCAUUUUGGUCAGAGACAUUGCACUUGAGAAGGUCUCGCCUUCCUGGAUCAACAUAUGGGUUCCCUUUCCAAAAGGCAUAGGGUACCCUAUCCUUCCAUUUGGUCCUGUUAUUACCUUUUCUUAUGUCCUUCAAUACAUGGUCCCAUGGCCUUAUAUUGAUCUCAGCCCUAACCAAUAAGCAACAAACUAUCAACUAUAUAAUUAUAUAGUUGGUUUUUUUUUUUUUUUUAAAGAAAAACAAAUCACUAAAAGAAAAAAAAUAAGUAAAUAAGAAAUCAUUACCAACCCCAAAAUGACCAAUCCGGAAACACAAUAUCCAAACUGCGAUCGUCAGAACAAUAUCGAAACAAAGGAGGUGGGCUGGCAUUUGGGCCUUGGAACUUCUCCGAUGGUACAACUGGCCUAUCAUCACAAUCAAACAUCAAUUCCAAAUCAGGCAAUCUUCCAGGGUACAACCUCAGAAGCUGCAUUAUUCCCCACAAACUGAACUCAUCUCUGCUCUGUAUCGAUUUUCUAUACUUUUCUACAUAGGCUUUCCCCUCCACAAUCACAAGCCUAAAAUGCGCAGUCCUUUUCGCCCGUUCGAUGAUGUCCUUUGUGAUUCCUUUCUCUCUCCAGGGCCGUAGAUCUUCAUGAAUCCAUCGGUAAUACUCUGGACAGGAGUUACUUGAUGGACGCUCAGGAUUUAGUGGGUUUUGUAUGGUUGAGUUGGGUUUUGGACAGUUGUGUGUGAGUUUUGUCGGAGUACGUCUAAGUAGAAAUUCCGGCUUUUUGGUUGUUGAGAUUGAAAAAACACUAAGCAAAGACUGAAAUGGAAAACAUCAUAAAUCAUUAGAAAUUAUGUAAGAAAUGGAUAUGCAUAGUCAGUCACUGAAAGUUCUUGCGUGUAGAAAAACUUACAGUGUUAAAACAACCAACAAACACCAAGACAACGAGGAAGAAGAAGAUAAAGAAGACAAGAAAAUUAGUAGUUGCAUCUUUAUUGUUCAGCGGCCAUCUACGUGUCGUUGUUGAAUGUCUAAGAAAGCUAGAACUCGAAUGGAAGAAACUGUGAAGAUUUCCCAUUCUUCCACUUCAUGCUUCUGCCUUCUGCUGCUGGUAUUUUCUUUUUCUGGAUCUAAUUCUAUUGCCUGACACGCAGACUGCAAGUUGUAUAUAUCACUAUCAACGACCCAUAGAAAUGUUUACAAUUGACUUCUCCUUUUCAUUUAUAGCCAAAUAUAAACACAUCACAUUUUCUUUUCUUUUUCUUUUAUGGGAGAAAGAAUAUUAUAUUAGCAACUAGCAAGAAAGUUGUUCUUUUACCAUAAGAGCUUCUAUAUAGCUAUAGCUAAAGAAAGCUUAAACCAAACUUGAAUAUUACAGUGAGAAUAAGAUACUGAUGCCAAAGCAUAAGAACGUUAUUCGCUUACCUCCCAAUACAGUAGACUGAAACAUAGUCGCUGUUUAAAAUUAAAAUAUCACAUUUUCUUUUCAGAAGAAAUAAUGUUUUAUAAUAUAAUUUCUAUUCUAUCCCUAGUUAAUAUGUAUCUGUGUAUAAAUAUACUACUAUACUAUUAGUCAAAAAAACUUUACCACAAAAUUGCCAAUCUUUAAUUUUGGUUGCUUUGAUUCUCAUAUUUAAAAUAUAUAUAUAUAUAUAUAUAUUUUUUUUUUGAUUAAUUUUUUUUUAAAAAAAAUUAAUAAUGGAUUAUUUAAUUUCAAUAAAGUAAUAUAAAUAAUCUUUUAUUUUUUGUUAUUUUUCCCUGGAUAUUUUCACACCAUUUUUAUAUAUGAGACUAAUUUUAAGUUGGAGUUUAUGGUUACCUCUCUACAUAAAUUUUAACUUUUCACAAAACAAUUAAGGAAAAUAAAUUAAUAGGACAGGCUAAUUGGACUGUCUUGACUAUACAGAAUUUUUUACUUUAACUCAGAUUGAUGUGAUGGGAAUGUCGUUUUGUAUGGAUAUUCUUUUUUAUAUAAAGAUAAAUUAUUCUAUAUUAAAAUAUUCCUCAAGAUAUUUUUCAUUAUUUGUUUAUUUAUUAAAACUCAACCACUGAUUAAUCUAUCAAUAUUUUAUUUAUCCAAAGGAAAUGGCAGUGUGCAAGUUGCGUUGACCCGGAGACCUUAACAAGCCUCCAGUAGGCGGUAGGCAAUGGGGUCCACAGCUUUAAAAUUAGCUCCAUGGAUUGAGGCGGACGGAAAGUGGAACCAUAGCCACAUAUUACAUAAAAAGACGACAAUUGACGCAAUUAAUUUCCAGUCGUUUCGGAUAAGAUCAAGCAUGCGUACGUAAAAAUAUUAAUACUUUGGUUGCAAAUAUAUUAAAAUAACAAUUAAAGUCUCACGCGUCCUUUUUCAUAUUAAGAAUUCCACAUUGUUAUAAUAAUUCCACAAAGGACAUAAAAAGAUAGAAACUCAUAAUAAUUAGUAACCAUUUGAUUUAUUAGCAGCAGUUAUCAUCAAACUAAAUAAAACAGUACUGAACUACAAAUACAAGCCUUGUUUACAAUUACAACACCACAACCGAGUUCUCUGAUUCCGUUCAUUCACUGUUCAACCAUCAUGCGCCUCAAGUCGAUCACUGAAGAUCGAACAUAAAAUAAUCCUAACUGGGAGAAGGGUAGGAUUAGGAUCCACCAAAUGUUAGGACAAUAGCUAGUUGAGUCCAUAAACAAAAACGACCAGCUCGCCAACUCAAAAGUCUAAUGGGUAAGCAGCACAAAUGGUGAAGCUGUGGUCAGAACACCCGAGGUUGCAAGUAUAUUACCUCAAAAUGCAGAAGGCCUCCAAGUCUAUUGAUUUCAAUGGCCAGUUGUUAAAAGGUGGACUUCCUUUAAAAGUUCUUGAAUUUAAACUGUAUGCCUCAGCAUUAUUCUGCAAAGAAAUUAAGCUAAUAAUAUUAGUGAGACAACAAUUUUAUAUUCAUUCACAGUUAGCAUCAACACAUUGUCCAUGGUUAAUCUAGAAGAUUUUUAAAUUACAAUUCCUCAUUCACUCAAAUAUUCCCAAAAAGAUAUUAGAGCUUGUCCAUAACUGACUCAGGUGAAAUGAUAAACUGGUAU